rnacentral:rRNA from 1 species
CCGUUCCCAUCCCGAACACGGUAGUUAAGCCCAUAUACGCCGAAAGUACUUGGCUGGAAACGGCCUGGGAGGAUAGGGAGUCGCUGAUU